CCUACGGGAGGCAGCAGUGGGGAAUUUUGGACAAUGGGCGCAAGCCUGAUCCAGCCAUGCCGCGUGUGGGAAGAAGGCCUUCGGGUUGUAAACCACUUUUGUCAGGGAAGAAACGGUCUGAACUAAUACUUUGGACUAAUGACGGUACCUGAAGAAUAAGCACCGGCUAACUACGUGCCAGCAGCCGCGGUAAUACGUAGGGUGCAAGCGUUAAUCGGAAUUACUGGGCGUAAAGCGUGCGCAGGCGGCUUUGCAAGACAGAUGUGAAAUCCCCGGGCUCAACCUGGGAACUGCAUUUGUGACUGCAUGGCUAGAGUACGGUAGAGGGGGAUGGAAUUCCGCGUGUAGCAGUGAAAUGCGUAGAUAUGCGGAGGAACACCGAUGGCGAAGGCAAUCCCCUGGACCUGUACUGACGCUCAUGCACGAAAGCGUGGGGAGCAAACAGGAUUAGAUACCCUGGUAGUCCACGCCCUAAACGAUGUCAACUGGUUGUUGGGAGGGUUUCUUCUCAGUAACGAAGCUAACGCGUGAAGUUGACCGCCUGGGGAGGACGGUCCGGCGAGGUUAGUUAAGUAAAGUUAAGUUAGUAGGCGNGAGAGNGCGACGGACGACGACGAGGAGGAGG
rnacentral:rRNA from 1 species